rnacentral:rRNA from 1 species
UACGUAGGGCGCGAGCGUUGUCCGGAAUUAUUGGGCGUAAAGAGCUCGUAGGCGGUUUGUCGCGUCGGUUGUGAAAACCCAAGGCUCAACCUUGGGCCUGCAAUCGAUACGGGCAGACUAGAGUACUGCAGGGGAGACUGGAAUUCCUGGUGUAGCGGUGGAAUGCGCAGAUAUCAGGAGGAACACCGGUGGCGAAGGCGACUUCCUGGCCUGUUCUUGACGCUGAGGCGCGAAAGCUAGGGUAGCAAACGGG